rnacentral:rRNA from 1 species
AGGACGAACGCUGGCGGCGUGCUUAACACAUGCAAGUCGAGCGGAAAGGCCCUUCGGGGUACUCGAGCGGCGAACGGGUGAGUAACACGUGAGUAACCUGCCCCUAGCUCUGGGAUAGCUCCGGGAAACCGGGAUUAAUACCAGAUACGACCACUUUAGACAUCUGUCGUGGUGGAAAGGAUUCCGGCUAGGGAUGGGCUCGCGGCCUAUCAGCUUGUUGGUGGGGUAACGGCCUACCAAGGCGACGACGGGUAGCCGGCCUGAGAGGGCGACCGGCCACACUGGGACUGAGACACGGCCCAGACUCCUACGGGAGGCAGCAGUGGGGAAUAUUGCGCAAUGGGCGAAAGCCUGACGCAGCGACGCCGCGUGGAGGAUGAAGGCCUUCGGGUUGUAAACCCCUUUCAGCAGGGACGAAGCGAAAGUGACGGUACCUGCAGAAGAAGCGCCGGCUAACUACGCGCCAGCAGCCGC